rnacentral:rRNA from 1 species
AGACGCUCGUUUGACAGCUUAACACAUGCAAGUCGAGCGGGGAAGGGUAGCUUGCUACCUGACCUAGCGGCGGACGGGUGAGUAAUGCUUAGGAAUCUGCCUAUUAGUGGGGGACAACAUCUCGAAAGGGAUGCUAAUUACCGCAUACGUUCCUACGGGAGAAAGCAGGGGCAUCUUCGGAACCUUGGCGCUAAUAGAUGAGCCUAAGUCGGAUUAGCUAGUUGGUUGGGGU